rnacentral:tRNA from 1 species
GGGUAUAGCUCAAGUGGUAGAGCACAUGCUUAGCAUGCAUGAGGUCAUGGGUUCAAUCCCCAGUACCUCCA